AGGAGGAGGAGGAGGAGGAGGUAAAGGUAAGAAGAAAAAGGUAAUUGGACUUCAUAGUAACUGAAAAAAGUUCUCAAAAGUGUAACAAGAUUUAACAUCCAUGCAUUAGAGUUAGUAGUCUAACCAGAACUCCAAUACAUGAAAUUGCAAAACAUCAAAGGUCAUUUCAAAUAGCAUUCUGCUGUACAUUCCAUUUAAGAAUAAACCUUCUUUAUAUAAGAUGAUAAAAGAACCACUACACAAGCUGUUCAUCAAACCCAAUUCAAUAAUGACAAAGUUUUAGCAAACACGGGUGUAGAAAGGCCCUUUACUGAGCAAUUGCUGCAAUUCUAAGAGCAAUUGCUGCAAUUCUAUUUGAGAAUCUAAUACUUCCAAAAAGCUUUAAAUCUUCAUAAAAAGUACCAGUUAAUUUGUUGAAAAAAUAGCAUAAUAAGGCAAGGCAAGUAAUAAACCCACAAAUAAGAAAGGGGAUCACCUGGAGGAGAGUGGUGGCAUAG
rnacentral:misc_RNA from 1 species